rnacentral:rRNA from 1 species
AGAGUUUGAUCCUGGCUCAGGAUGAACGCUAGCUACAGGCUUAACACAUGCAAGUCGAGGGGCAGCAUUGUCAUAGCAAUAUGACAGAUGGCGACCGGCGCACGGGUGAGUAACACGUAUCCAACCUGCCUUCCACUCGGGAAUAGCCUUUCGAAAGAAAGAUUAAUGCCCGAUGGCACUGAAAGAGGUCAUCCUUUUUCAGUUAAAGAAUUUCGGUGGAAGAUGGGGAUGCGUUCCAUUAGCUUGUUGGCGGGGUAACGGCCCACCAAGGCAUCGAUGGAUAGGGGUUCUGAGAGGAAGGUCCCCCACAUUGGAACUGAGACACGGUCCAAACUCCUACGGGAGGCAGCAGUGAGGAAUAUUGGUCAAUGGGCGGGAGCCUGAACCAGCCAAGUAGCGUGAAGGAUGACUGCCCUAUGGGUUGUAAACUUCUUUUAUAAGGGAAUAAAACGGGCCACGUGUGGCCUUUUGCAUGUACCUUAUGAAUAAGGAUCGGCUAACUCCGUGCCAGCAGCCGCGGUAAUACGGAGGAUCCGAGCGUUAUCCGGAUUUAUUGGGUUUAAAGGGAGCGCAGACGGGGUCUUAAGUCAGUUGUGAAAGUUUGCGGCUCAACCGUAAAAUUGCAGUUGAUACUGGGGCUCUUGAGUGCAGUAUAGGCAGGCGGAAUUCGUGGUGUAGCGGUGAAAUGCUUAGAUAUCACGAAGAACUCCGAUUGCGAAGGCAGCCUGCUGGACUGUAACUGACGUUCAUGCUCGAAAGUGCGGGUAUCAAACAGGAUUAGAUACCCUGGUAGUCCGCACAGUAAACGAUGAAUACUCGCUGUUGGCGAUACACAGUCAGCGGCCAAGCGAAAGCGUUAAGUAUUCCACCUGGGGAGUACGCCGGCAACGGUGAAACUCAAAGGAAUUGACGGGGGCCCGCACAAGCGGAGGAACAUGUGGUUUAAUUCGAUGAUACGCGAGGAACCUUACCCGGGCUUGAAUUGCUAAUGAAUAUGGCGGAAACGUCAUAGCCGCAAGGCCUUAGUGAAGGUGCUGCAUGGUUGUCGUCAGCUCGUGCCGUGAGGUGUCGGCUUAAGUGCCAUAACGAGCGCAACCCUUAUCUAUAGUUACCAUCAGGCAAUGCUGGGGACUCUAUGGAGACUGCCGUCGUAAGAUGUGAGGAAGGUUGGGAUGACGUCAAAUCAGCACGGCCCUUACGUCCGGGGCUACACACGUGUUACAAUGGGGGGUACAGAAGGCAGCUACACAGCGAUGUGAUGCUAAUCCCAAAAACCUCUCUCAGUUCGGACUGGAGUCUGCAACCCGACUCCACGAAGCUGGAUUCGCUAGUAAUCGCGCAUCAGCCACGGCGCGGUGAAUACGUUCCCGGGCCUUGUACACACCGCCCGUCAAGCCAUGAAAGCCGGGGGUACCUGAAGUGCGUAACCGCGAGGAGCGCCCUAGGGUAAAACUGGUGAUUGGGGCUAAGUCGUAACAAGGUAACC